UACGGGGGGGGGCAAGCGUUGUUCGGAAUUACUGGGCGUAAAGCGCACGUAGGCGGACUAUUAAGUCAGGGGUGAAAUCCCGGGGCUCAACCCCGGAACUGCCUUUGAUACUGGGAGUCUCGAGUCCGGGAGAGGUGAGUGGAACUGCGAGUGUAGAGGUGAAAUUCGUAGAUAUUCGCAAGAACACCAGUGGCGAAGGCGGCUCACUGGCCCGGUACUGACGCUGAGGUGCGAAAGCGUGGGGAGCAAACAGG
rnacentral:rRNA from 1 species